GUAGGUGGCAAGCGUUGUCCGGAAUUAUUGGGCGUAAAGCGCGCGCAGGCGGUUCUUUAAGUCUGAUGUGAAAGCCCACGGCUCAACCGUGGAGGGUCAUUGGAAACUGGAGAACUUGAGUACAGAAGAGGAAAGCGGAAUUCCACGUGUAGCGGUGAAAUGCGUAGAGAUGUGGAGGAACACCAAUGACGAAGACGACUUUCUGGUCUGUAACUGACGCUGAGGCGCGAAAGCGUGGGGAGCAAACAGGGAUUAGAUACCCUGGUAGUCCACGCCGUAAACGAUGAGUGCUAAGUGUUAGGGGGUUUCCGCCCCCUUAGUGCUGCAGCUAACGCAUUAAGCACUCCGCCUGGGGAUACGGCCGCAAGGCUG
rnacentral:rRNA from 1 species